GAUGAACGCUAGCGGCAGGCUUAAUACAUGCAAGUCGAGGGGCAGCAUGACUGUAGCAAUACGGUUGAUGGCGACCGGCAAACGGGUGCGGAACACGUACAGAACCUUCCUUCGAGCGGGGAAUAGCCCAGAGAAAUUUGGAUUAAUACCCCAUAGUAUAGCGGAGUGGCAUCACUCUGUUAUUAAAGAUUUAUCACUUUAAGAUGGCUGUGCGGCUGUUUAGGUAGUUGGCGGGGUAACGGCCCACCAAGCCUGCGAUCAGUAAAUGUUGUGCGAGCCCGACCAGUAACACGAGAACUGUGACACGGACCCGACUCCUACGGUAGGCAGCAAUAACGAAUAUUGGUCAAUUGACGAAAGUCUGAACCAGCCAUUCCGCGUGAAGGAUGAAGGUCCUCUGGAUUGUAAACUUCUUUUAUAUGGGACGAAAAAAGGCUUUUCUAAGUCGUCUGGCGGUUCCAUUUGAAUAAGCACCGGCUAACUCCGUGCCAGCCGCCGCGGUAAGAC
rnacentral:rRNA from 1 species